CCCAGACUCCUACGGGAGGCAGCAGUGGGGAAUAUUGCACAAUGGGGGGAACCCUGAUGCAGCGACGCCGCGUGGGUGAAGGAGCACCUCGGUGCGUAAAGCCCUAUCGGCAGGGAAGAAACAGACGGUACCUGACUAAGAAGCCCCGGCUAACUACGUGCCGGCAGCCGCGGUAAUACGUAGGGGGCAAGCGUUAUCCGGAUUUACUGGGUGUAAAGGGAGCGCAGGCGGCACGGCAAGCCUGAUGUGAAAGCCCGCGGCCCAACCGCGGGACUGCAUUGGGAACUACCGGGCUGGAGUGCCGGAGAGGUAGGCGGAAUUCCUAGUGUAGCGGUGAAAUGCGUAGAUAUCAGGAGGAACACCGGUGGCGAAGGCGGCCUGCUGGACUGCAACUGACGUUGAGGCCCGAAAGCGUGGGGAGCAAACAGGAUUAGAUACCCGAGUA
rnacentral:rRNA from 1 species